UAGACCAUAGGUUCAGGGAUCAUUUCUAUGGUUCGUUACUAUAGAGAUUUCUAUGAUCAUGCAGAGCACCCAAAAACAUGAGGAAGUGCCAGGGUAUCCCUCUCCUGAGCAGGAAGUAGGUUCUAGGAUUGCUUUUGCAGCUACCUUUACCAUUAAUGAUUGUUCUCUUCUUCUGGAAGAGGGAGAAGGAGGGUACAGUCUGAGUGGU